rnacentral:rRNA from 1 species
GACGAACGCUGGCGGCGUGCUUAACACAUGCAAGUCGAACGAAGUGGCGCACGGGUGAGUCACGCGUAAUCAACCUGCCCUUCAGCGGGGAACAACACUUGGAAACGACUGCUAAUACCGCCUACUGAAGGUGGGGAUUGCGUCUGAUUAGCUCGCUGGAGGGGUAACGCCCCACCAAGGCGAUGAUCAGUAGCCGGUCUGAGAGGAUGAACGGCCACAUUGGGACUGAGACACGGCCCAGACUCCUACGGGAGGCAGCAGUGGGGAAUCUUCCGCAAUGGACGAAAGUCUGACGGAGCAACGCCGCGUGAGGGAUGACGGACUUCGGGUUGUAAAGCUCUGUUAAUCGGGACGCGGUACCGGAAUAGAAAGCCACGGCUAACUACGUGCCAGCAGCCGCGGUAAUAC